CCAAUAGCGUAUAUUAAAGUUGUUGCAGUUAAAAAGCUCGUAGUUGAAUUUUGGAUUCUGCCAGUUGGUCCAUCUUUUGAUGAGUACUGAUUGUGUGGGGUCUAUCCGCCUGGUGAUACGUAAUGUACUUUAUUGUAUGUUGCGGGUAGUCAGGACCUUUACCUUGAAAAAAUUAGAGUGUUUAAAGCAGGCUUAUGCCGGAAUACAUUAGCAUGGAAUAAUAGAAUAGGACGAUGUUGUUUUAUUUUGUUGGUUUCUAGGACAACCGUAAUGAUUAAUAGGGAUAGUUGGGGGCAUUAGUAUUCAAUUGUCAGAGGUGAAAUUCUUGGAUUUAUUGAAGACUAACUACUGCGAAAGCAUUUGCCAAGGAUGUUUUCAUUAAUCAAGAACGAAAGUUAGGGGAUCGAAGACGAUCAGAUACCGUCGUAGUCUUAACCAUAAACUAUGCCGACUAGGGAUCGGGCGAUGUUGUUUCCAUGACUCGCUCGGCACCUUAUG
rnacentral:rRNA from 1 species